ACUCCAACAGUGGGGGAGGAGAAAAGGAGGCAAGGGUUGAAAAAUUACCUAUUGGUUACUAUGUUCACUAUUUGGGCGAUAGGUUCAAUAGCAGCUUUAACCCCAGUAUUAUGCAAUAUAUCCAUAUAACAAACCCAUAGAGGUACGCCCUGAGUCUAAAAUAAAUUUUAAAAAAUAUCUUUUAUAUCUCCUGUUGCUAUUUUUAUUUAGACAAGAAUGAGUGUUUAAAUAUUACUUCACUCUCCUCUUGAUUGGCAAGUAAUGGAACAAUCUCAGUGUUUGUCUUCCUGGAUCUUACUGCAGUGUUUGAUCCUCUUUCUUGACAUGCAGUCCUAGCUUUCAUGAUACCAUUUCUCCCAGUUUUCUUUUACCUCCCUGGCCUUUCUCAGUCUCUGUUAAAUGCUCCAGAGAUCCACCCUUGGCAGUCUUUCACCCAAUUCCACUGCUGCAGGUGCUUUAUCAUUGCUACUGACUCCAGCUCAGGCUACUCUACUUGCAUGUUCCUUAGGCACUCCCACCUCAACAAGUUCAAGAUCAUUGUCUAUAACAUUCCCCUCAAACCUGCUCCUCCACCUGUAUAAUCUAGUGUGGUAAGUGGCACCCUAUAAAAUCAUAUAUUUAAGAUGGAAACCUGAGUGCUAUAACAGAUUCCUCCUUUAAAAAAAAUCUGGCUCAGUCAGCUACUCAAUCACUGUCUCAUCAGUUUUGCACCUGUAACCCACUUAUAUCUUGGACUAUUGGCUCUUGUCUCAAUGUGAGCCUUGAAUUGUAAACAUAGACAAAUAAACAGCAGUCUGGAAACAAAAAAAGCAGGACAAAUAAAAAUGAAAACAUUUUAAACUAUUACUUAAUUUUCUAAAGAAUCCCCCCAAAAUAUCCCACACAUAAUGCACAGCGAACUUUGAAAUAUGCUUUUCUCAUUUUUGCCUUUCUCUGUUAUCUUUAUCUAUAGCUACAUGUCUUUCUCCCUCUAUCGUAUACCUGAAGAGCUCCUUUUUUCCCUUUCCCUGAAAAACUUCCUCUCUUCAACCCCAGCUUGUGACUAUCCCCAAACCCAAGAUCUUUUACUACCCCUCUCUUUUGUUGUUUCAUGGUUUACUCUGGACUCUUUCUGAUGUAAAUCAAUUCCAUAACCUUCUGUACCUCUCAGACUUCUCUCUCAUUCCUACUGCUUUUAGCAUCACAAAAGACUAAGAAUUGAGUAGAUUCACAGACGUGUUCUUGGAAAGGAGGGACGUAUUAAAGAGGAAAAAUGCAUUUAUUUCAAAUUUAAUAUUUUUCUUUAUUUACUGUCCAAACCCAGUCAAAUUUCUUUCCCGUUCAUUCCCUUCUCUCCAUUCCUGGCUGUAACAAUUACAGCCCAGUGUCAAGGACUGUGAAAGGACUGAAAUUUCCUCCUAACUGUAAGUGAACAAGACAAACUAUCACAGUUUCAUGGAUGCUGGUAGAAGACUCAAGACCCAGGAGUCAAACACAAAGGACAAUUUAUUGUUCACAAUAUAAGCAGUCGCCAGUGUCAGCAUUAUUGUGUCAUUUUCCCGAGCACCGAUUCCCACAGGAUAAUGCACAGAGAGCCAGAAGACACCUGCAUACACAGUGAGGUGCAGAGCAGGAGAGAUAUCCUGAGUUUAGGGAGGAAAAGCCUUUUAUGAUGGGUCGUAAGCAUGCCUACUCUUUGCUGCAGAGCAGGGGAGAGUUAGAUACUACUGCUAUCUUCCACAGCUGUAAGCACACCUUUCUUUUUUUCUGGAGGAGACACUAUCUAUUAUCUCCCAAUGCUGUUCAAUAUACAAAAACCCUUGAAGAGAUGGUCUGGAACAGAGAGCAAUCAAGGCCUCAUUUACAAGACUUGUAGAAACAUAAAGAGACCCACGAAGGAUUCUCUCUCCUCACCUCCUCAGGACAAUUGACAUUUAUUGUCGGAAUAUUAAAAUAUCUGCCCAAAUGCCCAAGUUGUUCCACGUCUUACCCUCUUCCAACGCAUCCUCCCUCUGCUGCAAGGGUAAUCUUUCAUAAUGCAAGUAGUGUCAUGCAAGUAGCAUUGCUUACAAUUAUUCAAUGACUGCUUAUUUUCUACAAGAUAAUUUCUGUAAUGUGCCACAUAAAACAUUUUUUGAUUUGACAUUUGCCUACCUUUUCAGUCUUCUUUUCCAUCCUGUACUGAAAAUAUUUGGCAUUUAAAACAUGAUUAUAAUCUUGCAUUUAAUAUUAUAAAUAACUUUUGGCGCUACUUCUACAAGGAAAGCAAUUUACAAGUUAUUGGACUUGAGAUGGCCUUUAUAAACGUAUAAGCUAUUCUUAGUAAAGUCCACUUCAAAUUCUAUUUGUACUGUUUGUGUGUAAAUAUGUGUUUUGCUGUGUGUGUUAAUGACAAAGGAAUUUAGAAAGAAAAUUACUCUGUAAGACCAACAAAUAGAAGUACUAUAUAUUCUCUAUUUAUUUAUAUUUUUUCUACAAGUAUUCUAGGCCUUGCAUAGAUCAACUGUAGUCGAACUUGUCUCCUGUCUGAUGCUAACAAUGACCCCUUGCUCUGGUUUGCCACUGGGGUUUAAAACCCCUCUCUCAAGUUCACACAACUGUCCCUUCAGGGGCUUUGCGUUUUUUCUCAGUCUGAGCUCUUUUAGACAAAUGUCAGUUUUUUUGCCAUUAGCCUUGUGAGAAUUCCUGAAAAUAAAUAAACAGCUUGGAGAAGGAGAGCCACUCUGGGAGUGGAGAAUAUGAGUCAGUGCCAUGGUUGGUGGGGGGAGAAAUGAACUUUUAGCUUAUGUUGUGGGUCUCUUACUUUGAGACUUGACACUGGGAGUGGUCUUGGACUCCUGCUUCCUGACAUCUACCCCCAGACUGAAGUCCGUGCCAGGAAAGGGGUGAUAAACCAGAGUUUAUGGGGACCAUUUAUGAUAUAUUGACAUGUUGAGGUGAUCUUUAUAACGAUUUUAAGCUUAUUGAUUUUUAGGAAGGAUUGAAGCAUUUUAUAUCUGUUGCAUCAAGAGAAACCCAGGCCUCCUGUAAAAUGGAUCUAACUCCACUGCCUCCUAUUUCCCAUUACAAUCCAUGAAGGAUUUAUUAUUCCUGCUACUCACUGAGUGACGUCGGAUAAACCCUGGUGUCUAACACAUUCUACUUUCAUCUCUACCCUCAUCAAGAGGGUGACAUUCUUCUCUCAAGGUUAUGGGGAUAUUGGAGGUGAGAGAAGAGUUUAUUCCUGAAUCAUGGAAAUGAACACACUGAAAUCAGAUCUUCCUUCCCGGUGUGGAUUUGUUCCCAGGUGUCAGCCUGCAGAGUUGGGUCACCAACCAGUUGCAAUGAUGCACAGGGAGAAGAUUCUGUCAGGUUCUUGUCUAAGAACAGAGGAGGUCAGAGCCUGGAGACUGGGUCUGGGAUUCUGUCCUGAGGAGACACAGGUUUCCAGAGAAGCAGGUUCACCUUAUGAACAUUGAGGUUUAUGGUAUUGCACUCAACACGAUGAAAAAUACAUGGGAACAGAGACAUCACUUUUUACUGCCAUAUGCAACUUACUGGAGAGAUGAACUGCUCACGUGGAGAUGAUUAGUGUCACAUGGGGUUUCAGGUGGGUACUUAAACACUUGAGCUCAUCACAAUAGCAACAGGAGGUGGCUGCAAAAUUAUCACCGUAGUAUACUACAGUUAUAAUUAUGCAGUUAUUUUUAUGCAGACUACAGUUAAUUUUAUGGAGUUAUGUUUUAAUACUGCAUCUUUACAUUUGUUUACAUUUCUCUUGACUGCAAAUAGUACCAUAUACUGGCUCUGUGUGUAUAAAUUUUAAUAAAUUUUGACUUUUGAUAAUAGAUUUGUGUAUAUUUUAAGGUAGUAAAUGAUAAACUA
rnacentral:lncRNA from 1 species